GCAGAGUUGCCUUUGAAACCUGUUCCCUGUGCAUAUUAAUGAUGGUCUGCUAUUUUUAUGACUGCCAGAAAAGUACUCCUGGUUCUGUGGCUGCCUUGAUCUGUGGGGGUGAUGCAGUUACUCCGGGACACAGGG
rnacentral:snoRNA from 1 species